rnacentral:lncRNA from 1 species
GCGACGCAGGCGGCGGCGGCUCGUUGAGGUCGAACGGCAGCCCCUUCCCCACCGUCACCGUCACCGCAGCUGCAGCUUCAUGUCGGCGCCCGAUCCGCCCCAGAUACGCGUACCUAUUAAUAAAGAAAUAUUAAAAAUACCGUUCUCUCUCAAAGUAUAAAAUAUUAGGAAUAUCGGAAAAGUCCGCGCAACACUUUAUCAAAUAAUAUAAUAUUUAAUUCUAAACAUAUGUUCGAACAAACAAACAUUAGAGAGAUAUACUGAAUAAGAUAUUCAUACCGGCCGAGCGCGAGAGCGGUGGACGGGAGAGGACGAGGGGGCGGAGGAGGGCCCACCACCCAGGAGAAGGGAUAGGGGAGGUUGAGAUCGAGGAGAGGAGGAGGAGGAGGAGGCGGCGGCGGCGGAGGAGGAGGGGGGGG